rnacentral:rRNA from 1 species
UACGUAGGGUGCGAGCGUUAAUCGGAAUUACUGGGCGUAAAGCGUGCGCAGGCGGUUUGGUAAGAUAAAUGUGAAAUUCCCGGGCUUAACCUGGGAACUGCAUUUGUGACUGCCAGGCUAGAGUGCGGCAGAGGGGAGUGGAAUUCCGCGUGUAGCAGUGAAAUGCGUAGAUAUGCGGAGGAACACCGAUGGCGAAGGCAACUCCCUGGGCCUGCACUGACGAUCAUGCACGAAAGCGUGGGGAGCAAACAGG